rnacentral:rRNA from 1 species
GGGUCAGUAGGUCGGUCGUGCCACUGGUAUGAACUGGUUUUACUGAUUCCUCCCUCUUGAAGAACUGUAAUGCCAUUAAUUUGGUGUCUUGGGGAAUCAGGACUGUUACUUUGAAAAAAUUAGAGUGUUUAAAGCAGGCUCACGCUUGAAUACAUUAGCAUGGAAUAACGAAAUAGGACGUUUGAUUCUAUUUUGUUGGUUUCUAGGAUUGACGUA